rnacentral:tRNA from 1 species
UAAAUUGAAGUCCGCUGGGUUGGAUGUUUAGUUGUUAACUAAAAUUUCGUGGGAUCAAGGCCCGCCAGCUUAGU